GCAUUUCCAUGCUCCCAUGUGCAAAGACAAGGCAACAUUUUAGAGCCAUUUCCCAGUAGAGGAGCCACACUAACUAAUAAAGUUUACACACUCAAAUUGACUUGUAUAUAUUAAGCUUCAAUUUCAAGUGAUUUAAGAAUAUCAUAAAGGAAAGUAUCAGUUUUUUAAAAACUGACCAGCUCAUUGAGCUUAAAAAGAUUAAAGAUAAAAAUUGGAAGUUCAAAAAAGUUGAACUGGAAUCAACUUGGCAACCUCAACAUGAUGU
rnacentral:misc_RNA from 1 species